rnacentral:piRNA from 1 species
UUGGUACCUGCUUGGCCUACUGGGU